GGUAACCUGACUUCCGGUCAUGUGUUCUCCCCUCCCCCGUCCCCAUCCGCCCCGGGCGCUGGUCGUGUCCUCGCUCGCUCCGCGGCCCCACUGCACUCCCGGUGCCCUGAGGCAGGGAGUUCCGCCGCUCACUCCCUGUGCUGACGGGGUAGGGAUGUGCCCUCAGCAUGGGGAGGAGCCCUACCUUAUUCAGUGCAUGAAUUAGUCCUGUGUUGGGAAUCGAACAGGACUGUUUAUUGAAGAAGGCUAUUAUUUGUAGGAUGUCUGCUUUAUUUGCUGCAGAAGUCACGAGGUAUGAAGUGAAUGAGGCAGGGGAUUGCAGGAAGAGAAAGGAUGGUCUCAAUCUGAAGGUAUUUGAAUGCUGCCCUGGAGAACUACAUGCUGUCCCUCUCUCUGCCACAGAGUUCCUAUGUGAUGCUAGAAUGAGAGACUGCUUCAUCAGACUGGGGCUGUGUCUGACAGACAUUCAUUUCUG
rnacentral:lncRNA from 1 species